UGGGGAAUAUUGGGCAAUGGGCGAAAGCCUGACCCAGCAACGCCGCGUGAGGGAAGAAGGUUUUCGGAUUGUAAACCUCUGUCCUCAGGGAAGAAGUCAGUGACGGUACCUGGGGAGGAAGCCCCGGCUAACUACGUGCCAGCAGCCGCGGUAAUACGUAGGGGGCGAGCGUUGUCCGGAAUGACUGGGCGUAAAGGGCGCGUAGGCGGCCGAUUAAGUCUGGAGUGAAAGUCCUGUUUUUAAGGCGGGAAUUGCUUUGGAGACUGGUUGGCUUGAGUGCGGAAGAGGUAAGUGGAAUUCCCAGUGUAGCGGUGAAAUGCGUAGAGAUUGGGAGGAACACCAGUGGCGAAGGCGACUUACUGGGCCGUAACUGACGCUGAAGCGCGAAAGCGUGGGGAGCGAACAGG
rnacentral:rRNA from 2 species